AUUGAACGCUGGCGGCAGGCCUAACACAUGCCAGUCGAACGGUAACAGGAAGAAGCUUGCUUCUUUGCUGACGAGUGGCGGACGGGUGAGUAAUGUCUGGGAAACUGCCUGAUGGAGGGGGAUAACUACUGGAAACGGUAGCUAAUACCGCAUAACGUCGCAAGACCAAAGAGGGGGACCUUCGGGCCUUUUGCCAUCGGAUGUGCCCAGAUGGGAUUAGCUAGUAGGUGGGGUAACGGCUCACCUAGGCGACGAUCCCUAGCUGGUCUGAGAGGAUGACCAGCCACACUGGAACUGAGACACGGUCCAGACUCCUACGGGAGGCAGCAGUGGGGAAUAUUGCACAAUGGGCGCAAGCCUGAUGCAGCCAUGCCGCGUGUAUGAAGAAGGCCUUCGGGUUGUAAAGUACUUUCAGCGGGGAGGAAGGGAGUAAAGUUAAUACCUUUGCUCAUUGACGUUACCCGCAGAAGAAGCACCGGCUAACUCCGUG
rnacentral:rRNA from 1 species